GGGGAUGAAUGGGGCUUUGUUCGUAGGCAGCCGCGGCUACCCUCUGCAGGCCCGGCCCGCACAACAGAGGCUGUAUGCGAGAGGAAUGGAAAUGAGCCUCAGGCCCUGCCGAAGGAGCCCCAUCCCCUUCCCCGCGCGGGGCUGAGGAAUGCUGGCCAGCCGGAAAGGAACCCUCGCUGGGAACGCCGCUCUCGCGCCUCUGAAACCCCAUUGAGAAGAACCCUUUGAUGCAAUUAAAGCGCAUUUCAUUGCAGGCCUGGGAGGAGGGAACGACCGGCAAGCUUUUUUCUGUCUCGGACGUGUGUAUGCACCUUUGUGGGCCGGGUUACUUAGAGACCAGGCGGGAACUUGAGCUCCCUCUCUCGCAGACGUUCUGUAACAUCAGAAAAGCGUACCCAUAAACAGAUUGGUUUUCACCAGGGGUGGAACUCAAUUUGGACACGAUCCAGGCUGACCUGCAGGCCGGGGUUCCUACUUUGAAAGGCUCUUUGGUGCGCCUUACACCCACCUUCCCUGCUGUAAAGGUUUAGGCGGAAAAGAAAUUGCGUUUGCAGGAGGAAGUUGUUUCUGAGGUUACUGCUCAGCAUUUUCCAUUUUCUCAGUGGUGGGGUGGGCCGUGUCGCAUAUCCAGAAGUGAUGUCACAGCCAGACCUGCAAAAUGAUGUAACCUGCAAGUGUUGAAGGACGACGAUGGGACAGCUAUUUUGAUACUCGUAUUAUUUUAUAACAUUUCCCUGCUUUUUCCAUUGAGACAACUGUGUGACCUCAGAAAAUCCACAUAGCCUCUCUGAACUUAGUAUUUUUGUGUGUGUGUUAAAAUGAGUAUCACAAAGCCGGAGAACGAAUGUGAUGAAGUUCUGGGUGCUUGUGGAAUUCUUUCUAAGUUGGAGGUGGACACUUUAUCUACCUGCACAGGUGGAAGAUAUGUGGGUCUGGAACUCCGGUAAACAAAAAGAUCCUAUUGGGACCUCUA
rnacentral:lncRNA from 1 species